GUAGGUGAACCUGCGGAAGGAUCAUUAAUAACGCCCCGUUUUUUUCGCAAGAUUUAAAUGGGUUUCAAUACCCAAAACCGUGUCUACCUACCUUUGUUGCUUUGGCAGGCCGCCUUCGGGCGUCGGCUCCGGCUGACCAGCGCCUGCCAGAGGCCCAAAGCUCUGUGUUUAGUGAUGUCUGAGUACUAUAAAAUAUUUAAAACUUUCAACAACGGAUCUCUUGGUUCUG
rnacentral:misc_RNA from 1 species